CUCCACACCAAGGGAGGAGACAUGUAAACAUCGGUAUGACUUUCACUCGGCACAGCUUUGGUGAAAUCCGGGAACUGGAGAGGUUUUUGUUCACAAAGCAAACAAGGUCUUCAGCUUCAAUAUAAUUCCUUCAGUUUCCUUGAGGAAAUUCUCACCCCCAAAAUGAAAUGGCAGAUAAUUUAAUUGUUUGCUCCAGGAACCGUCUGAAGAUGCGGGAUUUUGUGUGAGAUUUUCCAUGUCUGUUUUCAAGGGUGGCAUUCUGAAGGCAUUGCAUAUCUCAGCCAGCACAUUUGUAUUGUAGUCUGUUUGUAAUAAAUUCUCC